UCCUCCUGCUCCGGCCGUUUAAGAUGAGCCUGCCACCUGUUUGUCUUCCGCCAUGAUUAUAAGUUUCCUGAGGCCUCCUCAGCCACGAUUCCUGUGCAGCCUGCAGAACCGGAAUUCAGAGCGACUCCUGAUUAGACCUCAGAGCACGUGGUUUGACCGGCCAUCUGGAAAGGGAGGGACAAGCCACAGACAGUUCAUAUAAAGCAACACUUCUAUACCUCAGUUAAAAUAGAGUUGUCUAUUGAACUAGCCACUUGGUACAUUGGGAAAAAUCCCAGCAACCUACAGGGGAGCUGUCUGUAGUGUGUGUGAUCAUCAGGCUGACAUCACACUGACAGGUAAGAUACGGCCAUUGAUAGUUGACCCUGCUUCAGGUUAAUCCGUGACACUAA